rnacentral:rRNA from 1 species
UUCCGGUUGAUCCUGCCGGAGGUUACUGCUAUCGAGGUUCGACUAAGCCAUGCGAGUCGAAUGUAGCAAUACAUGGCGAACUGCUCAGUAACACGUGGACAACCUGCCCUUAGGACGGGGAUAAACCCGGGAAACUGGGUAUAAUACCCGAUAGGUCUCGAUUGCUGGAAUGCAUCGAGAUUUAAAGCUCCGGCGCCUAAGGAUGGGUCUGCGGCCUAUCAGGUAGUAGUGGGUGUAGCGUACCUACUAGCCUACGACGGGUACGGGUUGUGAGAGCAAGAGCCCGGAGAUGGAUUCUGAGACACGAAUCCAGGCCCCACGGGGUGCAGCAGGCGCGAAAACUUUACAAUGCUGGCAACAGCGAUAAGGGAACCUCGAGUGCCAGGUUACAAAUCUGGCUGUCGAGAUGCCUAAAAAGCAUUUCAUAGCAAGGGCCGGGCAAGACCGGUGCCAGCCGCCGCGGUAACACCGGCGGCUCGAGUGGUAACCGUUAUUAUUGGGUCUAAAGGGUCUGUAGCCGGCCGGAUAAGUCUCUUGAGAAAUCUGGCAGCUUAACUGUCAGGCUUUCAGGAGAUACUGUCUGGCUCGAGGCCGGGAGAGGUGAGAGGUACUUCAGGGGUAGGGGUGAAAUCUUGUAAUCCUUGAAGGACCACCAGUGGCGAAGGCGUCUCACCAGAACGGACCUGACGGCAAGGGACGAAAGCUAGGGGCACGAACCGGAUUAGAUACCCGGGUAGUCCUAGCCGUAAACGAUACUCGCUAGGUGUCGGCCACGGUGCGACCGUUGUCGGUGCC